UAACAAAGAAAAAUCAACCAAAAAAAUGAGUUCAAGUGUCACCUCUGACACGCGUAUUAUAGGUUCGCCAUCACUGUCCUAGGAGCUGCCGGAGGGAGGGGGCCAGGAAAGGCUUCACGAAGCUGGGAUGUUGGAGCUGAACCUUGAUGAAUGCGGCAGCUUCCUGACGGUGGUCCCUGCACCUGUCUUAUCUUCCCAUUCACCCAUCACACUGCUGUCAGACGUGCCCCCUGAAAAGACUAAUUGACCACACCACACCCCUGCAGAAAUACUGCUAGCAGUGCUGCUCCAGGUGUGGUCUGCCCUCCUGCGUUACCUGUCCACGAGGAAAGAAGUACAAAGGGAGAUAAGCAUCACCCAUGGUGUGAUCCUUCACUGAUUAGUUUGGGGAGCACUGGCCCACAGAGUCAAGGCCGAGCUCCUCAGUAUGCAUGCAAGGCCCUUCCGAAUCCGCUCUUGCCCACCUCUGCAGCCUCAACUCCCCUUUUCCCCCCAGAGGUGUGCCUUGUUGCAGCCACAGCUCCUCUCCAGGCCUCGGAGACAUUGGGCCUUGGCUUCUGCACCCUCCCCUCCAGCAGCCUGCACUGCUGGGCAGGCUCCUUUCAUCCCAGGCUACUUGCUUGUUUCCUCAAGCAGGGUGAGCCCUUUCCUCAAGUGGGUGUUGGAGGCACUUCCUGCUGGUGGUGCGAAUCUUUGUUUACAUUUGUCUUCCUGCCGAAUUUCUAACUCCUUGAAGGUGGGGUCUCUAAACAGCCAGGGAUGCUCAGGAAAUGUCGGAGGACCUGAGGCCCACUGGAGUUCCAGAACCCUUCUGACUAGACGUCCUUCAGGAGCCCUGAAAAGCAGAUGAGACUUGACUUUGCCUCCUCAGGAUACUCACCUGCCACUCGUGCCAUCGUCACAUUAGUUUCCAGUUCCAGUUUUUGAUCUGAGUUUCACACAGCUUUUGCGGCUUCUGCAGGAGGCUUUCUGUCCUUUAGGCUGUGUGCCUCUGGAAGUGCCCGACUUCUGCCUGCAGAGGUGUGAUGGAAACGUGAGAAGGGAAGUUGUGGGAAGGGUUGACAUUUUGUUAAUAGCCCUAAUCUCUUUUCUCCUAAGAACCUUUCUAGGCUUCAGAUACGCAUCACCACCUUUCUACUUUAUCGGCUAAGCACAAGAAAAGUGUUUCUUUGUUCUCCAUUGUUUUGGAGGACUGAAAAUUAAGUUUCACAAGAAGGGACAUGAGAGGGCCUGUUUCUGCUUUUGAGCAUCUUGGAAAUGUGUUUCCUGUAUUUUACUCUUUGUCAUGGAAGAUUCUAAACAUAAACAGACAUAGAGAUGAUUAUAUAAUGAACGCUCGUGUAUCUGUCACUCAGCUUCAGCCGUCACCAGCUGGUGUCCUGUCUCAUCUGUACCCGCUCACAGCCUCCCUCACGCUCAGGAUUGGCUUCGGAGCAGCACAUCUCCCAUUGUAGAGACACCUCUUAGCCCGCAGCCACCACACGUAGCAUAGAUUUCAACUCCAGUGGGUAGUCUUUGCUGCAUUACUUGGUAUGUAUCAGAGCACAGUUGUAAAUGUUGAAGUGCAUGAAUAAAAUUCCUUUUUUUAUUUGCUG